rnacentral:rRNA from 1 species
GGAGUAUGGACCGUGUCUCAGUCCCAAUGUGGCCGUCCGCCCUCUCAGGCCGGCUACCGAUCGUCGCUUUGGUGGGCCUUUACCCCGCCAUCUUGCUAAUCGGACGCGGACCCAUCCCAUACCGAUAAAUCUUUUCACACAUGGAGAUGUCUCCUCGUGCGCUUAUGCGGUAUUAUCAGUCGUUCCCAACUGCUAUCCCCCUGUAUGGGGCAGGUUAUCCACGCGUUACUCACCCGUCCGCCACUCAGUCCUCCCUCGGCUUCAACCGAAAUCUCCGCUUCGGGGUCUUCGUUCGACUUGCAUGUGUUAGGCACGCCGCCAGCGUUCAUC